UAAAUCCACUUUUGUGGCUCUUUCUGAAAUGAAAGGGCAAAUGAAGUCUCUAUUAUUAGCAUUGAGUUCAAUCCUUUGAGCAAUGUGAAUUGCAUCUAAGAGAGAUAAACUCAUAGAAAAUAAAGUAGUGUUUCUCAUAUAAGGUUCUCCUGGUAAGAGUUCUCCUAUAUUUAAGAGAGUGUGAUUUGUUUUCUCCUUAUAUAACACUAUAAGACUUGGUGAUGCAAGUCACAACGCAUAUUGUCUUCUAUUAGAAGAUGGAGAAGCAUCAACCUUUCAAGGGGCAUUAAAUGGUUCAUAUGCUUCGUUGUGGAUGGCAGCAAUGCAAGAAAAAAAAAAGAAUUCUUACGUAGAAAUAACACUUGGGAACUUGUUGAACUUCCUAAAGGUAUUUAAAACAAAUGGUGUUCAAGAUUAAACGAGAUGACAACGGUCAAGUGCAACCAUAUCGUGCAAGACUGGUGGUUAAAUGAUAUACUCAUAAAGAAGAUGUAAAUACUGCUUUUAUUCUUGGAGAACAUGAAGAUGAAAUAUAUAUGCUCCAAUUAGAAGGCUCUGAAGAACAAGGAAAAGAAAACUUGGUUUGCAGGUUGAACAAGUCUAUGUACAUCUUAAAGUAGACGCAAAGGUGUUGGACUAUUGGUACAAGAGAUUUGAUUUCUUUAUUAUUAGCCUUGGAUACAAUAGGCUGGUUUCACAACAUUGUACAUACUACGGAAGGUUUGAUGAAAAUGACUUCAUUAUUAUGUUGUUGUAUGCUAAUGACAUGUUGAUGGGAGGCUCCAACAAAGGCGAGUUCAAAAAAUGAAGACACAAUUGGCUAGGGAGUUUGAUAUGAAGGCCUUGGGAUAUGCAAACAAGGUUUUAGGGGUCCAAGUUCACUGAGUGCAAGAAUAUUACUAUGUUUUGUGACA